rnacentral:tRNA from 1 species
AAGUUCUACUUAAACUACCCCUUG